rnacentral:rRNA from 1 species
CCACACUGGAACUGAGACACGGUCCAGACUCCUACGGGAGGCAGCAGUGGGGAAUAUUGCACAAUGGGCGCAAGCCUGAUGCAGCCAUGCCGCGUGUGUGAAGAAGGCCUUCGGGUUGUAAAGCACUUUCAGCGGGGAGGAAGGCGAUAAGGUUAAUAACCUUGUCGAUUGACGUUACCCGCAGAAGAAGCACCGGCUAACUCCGUGCCAGCAGCCGCGGUAAUACGGAGGGUGCAAGCGUUAAUCGGAAUUACUGGGCGUAAAGCGCACGCAGGCGGUCUGUCAAGUCGGAU